rnacentral:rRNA from 1 species
UACAGAGGGGGCAAGCGUUGUUCGGAAUUACUGGGCGUAAAGGGCGCGUAGGCGCCUUCUAAGUCGAACGUGAAAUCCCUGGGCUCAACCCAGGAACUGCGUCCGAUACUGGAAGGCUUGAAUCCGGGAGAGGGAUGCGGAAUUCCAGGUGUAGCGGUGAAAUGCGUAGAUAUCUGGAGGAACACCGGUGGCGAAGGCGGCAUCCUGGACCGACACUGACGCUGAGGCGCGAAAGCUAGGGGAGCAAACGGG